rnacentral:misc_RNA from 1 species
UCGAAACCUGCNAAACGACCCGCGAACCGGUUAUCAACACGUCGGGGGCGUCGGAUUAAACUCCCGUAACCCCCGUGCGUCGGUGGUGGUCGGGCGUGCCAAGGUCUCGACGCCACUGUCGAGCUCUUGGGACGACUUGAUGCCAUCGGCCCAACGAACCAACCCCGGCGCGGCACGCGCCAAGGGAACUUUGCAAUAAAAGAAGGAUCACGCUCCCGCCCGUGCCGGAAAUCGGAUAACAUGGUCGGGGGUGGCUGUCCUCCUGUUCAUAACAAAAACGACUCUCGGCAACGGAUAUCUAGGCUCUUGCAUCGAUGAAGAACGUAGCGAAAUGCGAUACUUGGUGUGAAUUGCAGAAUCCCGUGAACCAUCGAGUCUUUGAACGCAAGUUGCGCCCGAAGCCUUCUGGCCAAGGGCACGUCUGCCUGGGUGUCACACAUCGUCGCCCCCAAACCCGAUACCUUACCGCAGGUAUCCGGGAAGAGGAUGGGCGGAUAAUGGUCUCCCGUGCGCUCCUGCUCGCGGUUGGCCCAAAAAAUAGUUCCUGGCGAUCGCAAGCCACGACCAGCGGUGGUUGAAAGACCCUCGACGGGAGUCGUGAGCACCUGCCUCGCACGUGGACAAACCGACCCCGAACGUGUUCGAUGCUUCGGACACUCACAAA